UACGAAGGGGGCUAGCGUUGUUCGGAAUCACUGGGCGUAAAGCGCACGUAGGCGGAUUUGCCAGUCAGGGGUGAAAUCCCGGGGCUCAACCUCGGAACUGCCUUUGAUACAGCAAGUCUUGAGUUCGAGAGAGGUGAGUGGAAUUCCUAGUGUAGAGGUGAAAUUCGUAGAUAUUAGGAAGAACACCGGUGGCGAAGGCGGCCCACUGGCUCGACACUGACGCUGAGGUGCGAAAGCGUGGGGAGCAAACAGG
rnacentral:rRNA from 1 species